GGAUGUAAUCAUUCCAGCAGUAAACCAUCGGAGCACAUCAGAACUCCAAAGUUAAGUGUGCUUGGGCGAGAGUAGUACUAGGAUGGGUAACCUCCUAGGAAGUCCUUAUGUUGCAUUCC
rnacentral:rRNA from 1 species